rnacentral:rRNA from 1 species
GACGAACGCUGGCGGCGUGCUUAACACAUGCAAGUCGAACGGAAAGGCCCUGCUUUUGUGGGGUGCUCGAGUGGCGAACGGGUGAGUAGCACGUGAGUAACCUGCCCUUGACUUUGGGAUAACUUCAGGAAACUGGGGCUAAUACCGGAUAGGAGCUCCUGCUGCAUGGUGGGGGUUGGAAAGUUUCGGCGGUUGGGGAUGGACUCGCGGCUUAUCAGCUUGUUGGUGGGGUAGUGGCUUACCAAGGCUUUGACGGGUAGCCGGCCUGAGAGGGUGACCGGCCACAUUGGGACUGAGAUACGGCCCAGACUCCUACGGGAGGCAGCAGUGGGGAAUAUUGCACAAUGGGCGGAAGCCUGAUGCAGCAACGCCGCGUGCGGGAUGACGGCCUUCGGGUUGUAAACCGCUUUCGCCUGUGACGAAGCGUGAGUGACGGUAAUGGGUAAAGAAGCACCGGCUAACUACGUGCCAGCAGCCGCGGUGAUACGUAGGGUGCGAGCGUUGUCCGGAUUUAUUGGGCGUAAAGGGCUCGUAGGUGGUUGAUCGCGUCGGAAGUGUAAUCUUGGGGCUUAACCCUGAGCGUGCUUUCGAUACGGGUUGACUUGAGGAAGGUAGGGGAGAAUGGAAUUCCUGGUGGAGCGGUGGAAUGCGCAGAUAUCAGGAGGAACACCAGUGGCGAAGGCGGUUCUCUGGGCCUUUCCUGACGCUGAGGAGCGAAAGCGUGGGGAGCGAACAGGCUUAGAUACCCUGGUAGUCCACGCUGUAAACGGUGGGUACUAGGUGUGGGGUCCAUUCCACGGGUUCCGUGCCGUAGCUAACGCUUUAAGUACCCCGCCUGGGGAGUACGGCCGCAAGGCUAAAACUCAAAGGAAUUGACGGGGCCCCGCACAAGCGGCGGAGCAUGCGGAUUAAUUCGAUGCAACGCGUAGAACCUUACCUGGGUUUGACAUGGAUCGGGAGUGCUCAGAGAUGGGUGUGCCUCUUUUGGGGUCGGUUCACAGGUGGUGCAUGGCUGUCGUCAGCUCGUGUCGUGAGAUGUUGGGUUAAGUCCCGCAACGAGCGCAACCCUUGUUCACUGUUGCCAGCACGUUAUGGUGGGGACUCAGUGGAGACCGCCGGGGUCAACUCGGAGGAAGGUGGGGAUGACGUCAAGUCAUCAUGCCCCUUGUGUCCAGGGCUUCACGCAUGCUACAAUGGCUGGUACAGAGAGUGGCGAGCCUGUGAGGGUGAGCGAAUCUCGGAAAGCCGGUCUCAGUUCGGAUUGGGGUCUGCAACUCGACCUCAUGAAGUCGGAGUCGCUAGUAAUCGCAGAUCAGCAACGCUGCGGUGAAUACGUUCCCGGG